CCCUACGUGAGGCAGCAGUGGGGAAUAUUGGACAAUGGGGGGAACCCUGAUCCAGCGACGCCGCGUGAGUGAAGAAGUAUUUCGGUAUGUAAAGCUCUAUCAGCAGGGAAGAAAAUGCCGGUACCUGACGAAGAAGCCCCGGCUAACUACGUGCCAGCAGCCGCGGUAAAAAGUAGGGGGCAAGCGUUAUCCGGGUUUACUGGGUGUAAAGGGAGCGUAGACGGUGCAGCAAGGCUGCGUUUAAAGGUCGGGGCCCAACCCCGGGACUGCAUUGGAAACUGUUGAACUGGAGUACAGGAGAGGUAAGCGGAAUUCCUAGUGUAGCGGUGAAAUGCGUAGAUAUUAGGAGGAACACCAGUGGCGAGGGCGGCUUACUGGACUGUAACUGACGUUGAGUCUCUAAAGCGUGGGGAGCAAACAGGAUUAGAUACCCGGGUAGUC
rnacentral:rRNA from 1 species